rnacentral:tRNA from 1 species
GGGGGUUUAGCUCAUUUGGUAGAGCAACCGGUUUUUACCCGGUAGCGGAUCAGUUCGAACCUGAUAGCCCCCA